GCACGAGCACGAGCUUUCGCUCCCGUUACACAAGAAAGUUUUCCAACUGCGGGAGAGAGUGUGGGUGGGAGUGCGUGUGUUGUGUGUGUGUGCUGCUUUUCCUGCUUGUGAAUGUAUUUUGCUCCAAUUUCGCCGCAGCUUCGGCUCGCGUUUUCCCGUUUCCCGACUUCGGAGUGCGCUCGCCGGGUCAGCGUGUUCAAUACGCAAGGUUCAGUUGAGCGCGCCGGACGUUUGACUCGUGGUCGUGGUCCGUUCGUCGAGACACCGUUACAGCAGCAGCGUCGUGCGUGCGUAGUAGUAACCGACCACAUACACACACACACACAGACGCAGAGUUCGUGGCGUGUAGUAAAACUCAUUAAACAGCAACUUAUUCAAUACUAUUUCACGCACGCGGCCAACGGCGGUGGAAAAACGCGCGCUUAACAGAGGUCCUCGAAAGCGAGUCGAACGGCAUUUUCGCCAUCGCCGCGGGCGGACUCUGAAAAUUAUUGCACAAAAGCAAACGAAGCGCGGCGAUAAAAGUUAAAUGUCGCGGUAAAUUGCCUCGUUCGCCCGAUCAAUACCAAAAAGGCAAGAACGAGAAAGUCACAGAGAAACGUCAGUCAAUUAAAGCGCUCUUAUGGAAUACACACAUAUUAUUUUUCAAGGCGAAAGCAAAUCUACACUGGAAAAUGGAAAGCGGAUAAGGCCAUAAGCGAGGAAAGCAAAACGAACGAAUUCAUGAUACAAACGGAACAAAGCCUUAGUACGUGUGAGGGAGCAACAAAAUACGUAUCAAAUUAUAGCCUAAGUAGCAGUUACGAAACCACCGAACCACGAGCAAGGAUAACGCAUACAGCGAACUAGGUUUACAGAGAGCACAACUCGAAUCGAACCCAGUCGAACCCAACUAUCGAUUAAGGAACCAACUCAGCAUAUCCCUUCGAUUGUCCACGCAAAUUGGACCAACGAUUCCAUAGCCAUAUCCACAUCCCUCAUUGGGAGCGAAACAAGCAAGGUGGCUGCAACAAAAUUAAUGUGUGAUAGCGCAACCACGGGAUGUUUCCUGACCAGAAGCAGCCAUCGCAAGGAGAAUGGAAGAUCAGUUCCUGAUGUCACCGCAAGCCCGGGUCGGGCCCCGCCCGGACCGCUGCCCGCCAACCAGCUGCCUUCGAUGGGCAACCAGCAGCACCAUGGCAACCAGCAACAUCAUGGAAACCAGCAGCAACACCAUGGCAAUCAGCACGGCAACCAUCGAGGUCAGAGCGGAAGUCUGUCGAACGCCGCCGGGGUCAAGGACCCGGUGAUGCUCCAGGGCGAUUUCCGGAAAGUCAGCGGCAUCAGCUCGGAGAUCUUCCGGCAGAUAGAGGCCGUCGAGAAUGACCACGACCCAAACACGGCCGCGGCCUUGGAGGCGGUGGAGCGGCGCGGUGAGAUGAUCGUGCGCGUCCUGGAGCCACGUUGCAUGGGCAGCAAACAGGCGGUGGACGCAGCCCACAAGCUGAUGAACAAGGCGGACGCACGGCACACCGUGCAGCUGGUGGAGAUUGUCAAGCGGCCGGGUCAGACGCUGGGCUUGUACAUCCGCGAGGGAAAUGGAGCCGACCGCACCGAUGGCGUGUUCAUCUCGCGGAUUGCCCUGGAGUCGGCUGUCUACAACAGCGGCUGCUUGCGGGUGGGCGAUGAAAUCCUUGCGGUGAAUCUGGUGGACGUGACCCACAUGUCCCUGGACGAUGUCGUCAUUAUUAUGUCAAUUCCGCGCCGCUUGGUGCUGGCGAUACGUCAGCGGCGAGGCAACAGAGGCACAGGAUCUCCUGGACCGCCGACGCUCUCCCGACCAGAACAGAAGCCCCCACCGGUUGUGGUCAUCAAGCGAGAUUUGCGGGACGAGGAUCUGGACGAGACGGACCGGAUGCCGAGGCCGCGCUCAUCACGUGACAGACGUACAGGAGACGGUCGCGAGAUGACGGAAUCUCGAUCUCGGCUAGGUCUGGGCCUCAACAAUUACAGUCCGCAGUCCGAGCAGCUGGACAUGUACUACAAUACCCGCGGCGGAGGUGGUGGACCCAUGGGCGAGCCGCCCAACUGGGGCUAUAAGCCACCACCGCCACCGUCAUCCGUGAUUACGGAGCAACCCACAAAGGCACAUGCUUUUGCGCCGUCGCAUGCCUACUACCAAAAUGCGGGCACUCUUGAAAGCCUCGCGGAGAAGGUACAUGCAUUCUAUCCUGGACAGCCUGGUGCUCCGCCCGUGGGUCCCUCGAGAAGAAUGUCCACGGGCACUGGGAACGUUGGCCUCGCUCAGCAACAUGCCAGAUUUCCGCGGUCUGGCUCAGAUCAGCAUUUACCUCGCGUAGAAUAUGCGGACUAUUCCAAUUCCCUGGGACGCCAUUCCCUUCUACGAUCAAGCUUAAAACCUGGAACGGCCGGUGGAGCUCCCAUGCAGGUGGGAGUGGGAGGCACUCUUGGCCGGUACGGGCGCUAUGAUCAACAGAGAGCCGGUGUAUCCAAGUACGGCCCUCCAUCUGGCGGAGCUCAAUCGCUGACCCGUCGUUCCAGACCAAAUUUGGACUAUUCCAGCGAUACGGAAGCCACAAUUGGGCCCAGGCCAAGUUACUACUACUACAACAGACCUGCCAUCGGCAGCAUGUCAAGGGGAUCAGGUGGAGCAGGCGGAGUUGGCGCAGCAUCAACGGCAGCCUUGCUGGCCGGAGCUGCGGAUCUCAAUAAAUUCAACUCAUUGCCCCGAGAGCGUCCCGGCACGAGAUUGCAGGGCAUUCGCUCCAGAAUGGGAGAUCGUUUGGUGGACGAGAAUGACGGUAAUACCUCGGCACCCGAGUUCGAUGCACGGAGGGGUAGGGAUUUGCGUCAGCGAAUUACCGCCAGUCCGUCGAUAUUCACGGCGGAUGAGUACCGCGCCUGGCUCAGAAGGGCACCUAGCAGUUCAGCAAUUGCGGAGCAAAUGCGAAUGACGCGGGACAUGUUUGCCCAGCCACGGGCCCAAAGAUUCUCAUGUAGCGCUGAGAACAUCCACGAUGCACUGCGAAAUACGGAAAGCAUCUACUCCAGUAGAACCCAUAUCCUUGGCACGGGCACUCUCGAUCGGAACAUGGGUCUCACCCGACCAAUUUCUGCGCUACCGGUCCGCUCCAUGUCCUCGCAGCACAUUGGAGGAGCGGGCUCCAUUCGUUCGCCGAGCAUACGGCGCAUGCGGCAGUUACUGGAGCUCUCCGCAGGUCCCGCCAGCCCGAGCGGCAGCAUUCUGAGCACCGGUGGUCACCAGAGUCCAGCACCAACACCAAGUGCCACCUUGCCACGCCCACACCGCCAGAUCGACAUUAACCCGGCGGAGUUCGCCAAGUACAAGCUGGAUAAGCCCAUCGUUGAUAUUGGAGGGAUCUCCGGCAUGUUAUGGAUUCACUUGCUGGCAGGUCGCGGCCUUAGAACCGCUCCAGAGGGAGCAGCAGGGGCGGCGCCACAGGGCCAAACCAGAGAUCUGUACUGCGUAAUCGAGUGCGAUCGCGUACAUAAGGCACGGACGGUGGUGCGAUCGGGUGACCUGCAGUUCGACUGGGACGAGUCGUUCGAGCUUGACUUGGUGGGCAACAAACAGUUGGAUGUACUAGUCUACUCAUGGGAUCCGCAGCACAGACACAAGCUGUGCUACCGAGGCGCCAUUUCGCUGUCGUCAAUCCUCCGUCAGUCGCCACUGCAUCAACUGGCCUUGAAGGUUGAGCCAAGGGGGACGAUAUACAUUCGCAUGCGGCACACGGAUCCACUGGCUCUUUACAAGAGGAGGGGACUUCCGAGCCUGAGGGCAGGUUACCCCACGCUCUUCGGCGCUGAUCUGGAAACGGUGGUCAAUCGGGAGUCUAAGAAUGCUCCCGGAAGUGCACCCGUUCCCAUCGUAUUGAGGCGCUGUGUGGAGGAGGUGGAGCGCCGUGGUCUGGAUAUAAUCGGGUUGUACCGACUGUGCGGCUCGGCUACCAAGAAGCGAUUGCUACGCGAGGCCUUCGAGCGCAAUAGCCGUGCAGUGGAAUUGACCCCGGAACAUGUUCCUGACAUCAACGUCAUCACCGGCGUCCUCAAGGAUUACCUCAGGGAACUGCCCGAGCCGCUGUUCACGCGCUGUCUUUUCCAGAUGACGGUGGAUGCCUUAGCUGUCUGCCUACCAGAUGACCCGGAGGGCAAUGCGAAACUGAUGCUUAGCAUUCUCGACUGCCUGCCGCGGGCAAACAGGGCCACCCUGGUAUUCCUCCUUGAUCACCUCUCGCUGGUCGUUUCAAACUCGGAGCGGAACAAGAUGUCCGCCCAGGCGUUGGCCACCGUGAUGGGCCCACCGCUGAUGCUGCAUUCGGCGAGUGCGCAGCCGGGUGCUGAUAUCGAUCACGCUCAGCCGAUCGCGGUGCUUAAGUAUCUGCUGCAGAUCUGGCCGCAGCCGCAGGCGCAGCAUCAGCAGAUGGCGCAGCACAUGGGCGGCGCUGCGGGCGCGAUGAUGGGCGGCUUGGUCACCGCCGGGAGCAUGAGCAAUAUGGCCGGUGUUGCUUCAGCCCUAUCAAUUGGGGGCCUCAGUGGGCUCAGCAAUUCCCGACCCAUCGCCACUGCCACUUCCAGGCACACCCUCCCCCGGCAGUAGCUCAGCGUCGACGGGUUCGGGCUCGGGCUCGGGCUCCGGAUCGGGUAAAAGCACGGAUACCAUCAAGCGCGGUGCUUCGCCUGUAUCCGUUAAGCAAGUCAAGAUCGUCGACCAGCCAUCCAGUCCAUACUCCAUUGUGAUGAAGAAGCCGCCGCUGCAAAAAGAUGCGCCCGUGGAAAUCACCACACCCACCACGCAGGCGGAUGCAGAGUCGACCCUGGGAAGCAAAGAUAGCAAUGGAACAUCGUCUCGAAGGGGGAAUGUGGACUUUUAUGAUACGCAUAAAGCGCAGGCCAAGAGUUUUGCGAACGAAGAACCCAGCUACAGCUCCAAGUACAGCGCCUUGGAAACUAAGAAGAUCAGCCUUGGCAACAGUACCUACACGCCCAGCAAGGCGAAUGCCAGUGGCCUUUCCGCCGGCGAGGACUACAAAGCGAUGCGUAACAAGUCGAGCGCUACUUCCAGCUCCAGUUCAUCGCAGGCCACCGUUUUGAGUGCUGGUUCUACGGCCACGUCAGCCCCGACCACUUCUUCGGACGAUUCGGAUGAUCUGGUCUCCUACAAGUCAUCGGCGUCCACAAAUGCCUUGCUGGCCCAAUCGCAAGCCAUGACCACCAGUCAGCUGAUGUCCAAGUAUCUCAAGCGGGAGCCACGAGUACAGUUUACGCCAAUGAAGUCACCGGAAUCGCCCUCGCCACCGGGUAGCGGCGAUGGUCUGCCCAAGGGCACUUACCAACUGGUUACGCCUAUCUCGGGACCGUCGAGCAAACCGGGCGCCACAACUGGAGCUAUAAGCAAGUACACCACCGGCUCAGUGGAUUCAUCUACAAGUGCGAACAGCCAGAAGUUGUCAUCGCCCUCGCGAUUGUCCAACAGCAAGGAUAGCAAUAGCAGGACUGGAACGGCCAGCAGUACGACAGCCGCGACCUCUUUGGUUUCGACAGGUCGGCGUUUGUUCGACAGCCUCGCCUCUUCAUCGUCCUCGGAAACGGAGACCAAGACCUACAUAGGCGGCACCACUGCGGCCAGUGGGGCCGUCACCACCACCACCUACACCAACGACACCAAGAACUCCGGCACCAGUAGCAGUAAGUCGGGAAUAGGAGGGGGGUCUGGAGCUGGGUUUGGAGCGGUUUCGGGAGCAGGCUCCGAGCAUCGAAGCUUCGGCAGUACGCUAUUCGGCAGUAGUGGCUUAGGCAACGGCAAUGGCAGCAACCACAAUCACUCUAACGCCAGUCCAAGUCCCUUCACCACCACCAACGGCAACGGCAACCACAACACCAUGCAUCUGUAUGGCACCUUGCCCAAAAACGGAACCUCCACGGGGGCAGCUUUGUUCGGCGGCUCGGCCAACAGCUCCUCGUACCACUCCUCGGCGAGUGGCAGUGGAGCCGGAACCGCCAGCAGCAGUGGGGUCAGCUCUAUGACGGGCUCCACAAAUAGCUACGACUUCUACACGAGCACAAGCUCCAGUGUGAGCAGUUCGCGCCCCUUUGCCAACGGAGGCAACAACUACCACACUCUGGGAACCUAUAGGGCUCAGUACGCCGCCACUAAUCCCUUCCUGGACGCCUUCGACGAAAAGCCGGGCAGCAACGGGGGUAAUAGCCACGGGGAGGAGAAGCUAGGCGCGGACAAGGGCCACCACAGGGCGGCCGUAAUGGCCUUUCAGUCGUCAGGAGACUCGAAAAACGGUAGCGAUGAGUACGAUGACAUCAAGUGAGGCAGGCAAAAGGCUAUAGAUGCGGUUAGAAGAAAGGAAUACAGAUACAACUACGAUUAUACGCGUACAAAUGGUGAAAGUAAAGAAAUCUAAAAGCUAGUCUUCCUGGUUUAACCCUUCUUGCUCUCUUUUUGCACCUUUGCGAUCUGCGAUCUGCGAAAAUAGUUCGCAUAUACCAAAUACUUUUGGGCAACGAUAUACGAUCAACUGCUCUGGUUUAAACUUUUUCAUUCCAUUCUACGAGUUUGAUCGGCAAGCAUCAAUACAUUCAUUCCCUUCGCCAUUGCAUUGCGCGUCUAAUCGUAGUUACGUAACAAAACUAAUGCCACACAAUGCUGAAAGUGUUCUUUUGAAGUAUUUACAGUUUACAAAUUUACAAAGUACGAACGACAGUUGCAUACAAAGGCCCCAAUGAGAACCCCCUAAACUUUAGAGCCUAAAGCAAGCAUAAUCUACACACAUAAAAUAAAUAGUCGCCGAGCUCUGUGUAUGUGUUUAUAGAUACUUGUGAAAGCUUAUCCCUGGUAGCGUUACAAGUUUUGAAGCGCUUGACAGUGGUUUGCCGUUUAGCUAACAUAAAUCCGAAUUCAAUAACAUUUACGAACAGUAUUUUUUAAUGAACUAAAACUAAAUGAACUAAAAAAUAAAACAUAAAUUAAAGUCAACAGCGUAUACAAUAAAUUACAUUUAAAAAAUACAAAUAGAAGGACUUACCCAAAAGGUUGAACGCGCAUUUAAUUUUUCAAAAUAAUCCUAUAUCAACUUACACCCCUCUACUAGACACAAGAUUCGUUACUGAUAUAUUUUUGCAUACUCCCUUUUCGCAGUAUAUACUGUAUAUAAGAAAAGCUCUUAUAAUCUACCCACAUUAUCUCCUUUGUGAGCGUUUCGAUGUGACCAACUCUCUUAUCUGCAUAAGCAAUGUACACGACUAUAACAACCUGUCUAAUUAACUAUUCGACGACUUUUUGAGCAACAUAUUUUCCUGCAAUGUUUCCCAAUGCCUCUUUUAUAAAUCUUAAAUGUGCAUGUGUGAUCAAGAAACGAUCGAACUCCCGAUUAGGAUUUCACAUAGCAGACACCACUCGCAAACUGACAUGCAAAUUACAAAUACAUGAAUUUAUUAACGAAUCAAUGUGCUUAGUUUUUGUAUGAAACAAAGUCUGAUAUAUACACUAAUAUACAACGGUACAGUAUAAUAUUUCUAAACAUUUAAUUAUAAUUAUACAAGCGAUGAGAAAAUAUGUAAUGUUAAUACAUAUUACUAAAUAGCAAGUUAAGAACGCUUUGCGAUUAAGAAGUUUACAGCAGGUAUGUUUUCAAAGCUUUUUAAAGUGUAUUAAUGACCAACUGUGCUUAACCCCAAUUGUAUAGGAAAUUACAUUUAAAUGACCCUAUAACGAUCUCAAUUUUAUAAAAACUUAAAAUUCAUAAUACUUUCGAAUACAUACGUUGCGGAACUGUAAAUACCCAAAAAGGAAUUUACCAAUCUCGUAGUCAACUAUUCAGUAAAUGAAGCUGGUUAUAGUCAUAGGCUUUGGCAAACAGCCUACACCUCUUAUUAUUUAAAUAAAGGUAGACAAAAUAGGAAGAAACUAAAAUAACAAAUAAAGCCCUGAGGUACAGAGAGAUUUAUGUUAGCUAACAAAAAUGAAUAAUCAUUCGUCUUCAUGCAAGUACAACUUUCUUCAGCGACUCAAUAAAAUCAAUAAAGUAAAGAGCCUCACUUAUUACAUUACAAUUCAUUCAUUCGUUUCCAUAACUAAUCGAAAUUAUAUAACCCAAAACUAUAAUCAAUAUUGUGGACUAUUUGAUUUUAACAAUUAGUACGGCUUAUAGAGAUCGAUUGGGAGCCCCAAAACGCAAUAAGAUUUUAAAUAGUAAAUUAUUCGGUUAAUUGUUGCCAGAUUUAUUUUAUAAGAAUGGAUAGCAUUUAAAGUGUUAAACAUGAUUACCAAACCAAAGAGUUUAAAACCACAAUAUAGGCAACCAUAUAGUUGAGCAAAUUGAUUUUUAUAUAGUGAAUUGUUAAUUAUUGCAUAUAGCACGUAGAAUUUUUAACAAAAGCAAAAAGGAAUCAGAAGUUUUGGCGGAUGAGUUAUUUUAAGGUGGUCGCGACUUGCUUGCCGCCAUCGCUGCCCAACUUGAUUGAUUUUAGGAUUUUAACUUCAUACAUAACCAAGAAACAUCAAUGUUACUAAAGCUGUCGCCUUCGUUUUAAACACAAGUAAGACCCUAGAACCCCUAUUAGCUCUGCAAUCCGGUUUUUAAUUGGUUUAUCCCGAAAGCUUUAAUCGUUGAACGACCAGAAUUACACGGUUACAAAUUCUAUAAAUAUUCCUUAUAUACCAUAAAAUAGUAGGAGUUGGUGGAAGAUAUCAUGACACACUUCGGUUUAUUUGCGAGUUGUUGUGGCUUCAUAGGCGUAGUUAGUUAGCACUAGAUGUAAAACCUGGCGGAGAUUCGAGCGUUGUCAGUUGGUGGUGGAAGAAGGAAGUGGGGGCAGCGACUGCAGUGGCGUCGGUUAGUGGUUUGUGGUUUGCCGCUUGGAGCUGCUUUUCUGGGCCCGAUCUUGUUCGAUAUCUAUUUGUACUUGUACUUAGAACUCGUAAGCAUACACUAUGGAAUAUAUAUCACUGUGUCAUAUCGUACAUUUAAAGCAAAUAACGAAAACAGAUUGGAGCUGAACGAAGUAGCGGAAGAGAGAAAAUUUUUAACGCAAAGUAUUCAUGUAUCGAAGUAUGUAUACAACCUAAAUUAAUAGCAGUCGAGCAGAAACUACAUAAUAUAAAUAGAUAAAUACCAAACUAAACCAGAACUCGAUUGGCGCGAAACCAAGUACUACAAAUUGUACAUGCAUUUAAUCUAGAAUAGCUACAACUAACUAAACACUAAUUAUCUGAUACUGAAAACCAAACCAACUUUUAGCUGGCAAACGAAAAUGGCAAAUGAAUUGAUAAAUAUGCUAACACAUUAGACAUUAAAUUAGUUAUCAGUGAAUUAACAGAAACGAACUAAUUUAUUAAAAUGUAUUGCACAAUAUCGAACACUUAAACGUAUUAGAGAAAGUAACUAAGCCUACUACAGGUAAUAUGCAUACGAAUAGAAUCGGACACAUAGGCAAAGGUGGCAGGAUGCAGGAUGCAGAUUCAGAAUAUGUUCAAAACCUAAUCUCCAAGUGAAAUCGACCGGUUCCACGGCGGUACUUUCGGGUAGUGAGAUGGAAGAUCUGUUCUACUGCGAUUUGGAUGAUUUGGAUAGUGCAUACGCCUAAUUAUUUGUAAAGAAUAUGUGUGUUUAUGUAUGCAUUAAAUGUGCCUAUACUUUCCUUUAAUUUAAUGCAAAAAGACCCUUCCGCCCGCACCCGCAAUAUUUUUUUUUUUUUUCGCCCACUUUGAGAACCCUUUGACGCUUUACGGGGAUUUUUAUUAUGGUUUUUCGAGGUUUGUAAGGAAUGCAAUUAUGGAAAAGAUUUCUUCUGUCGAACUUAAUAAGUAAAUGGAGACCAAAUGCUCAGGGCUUUAGCAAGUUAUAGUAGGCGUAAUAUACAAAAAAAAAACAAAAAUCAAGGGGAGACCCACCUAAAAACUAAGUGCAACACAUCAUGAGCAUACUCCAUCAAACGUUAAGGCGAUACAUUUUAGUUGAAUCUUUAGAUCUGUCAUCACCAGCUUAAGCUGCAGGUGCAACUUAACAAUAGCAACAGCAGCCACAACAAGAACAAUCCAACAAACAAAUUUACAAAAUUCACGCAAUCAAUUUGUUGAAAAGACUGAAAACCAUAUAAAACAAAAGAAAGACAAAACAAAAGUAAACCAAGAACAUACAACUCCCUUUGCAUAGAGAUCGACAUCAAACCAAAAAUAUUCAUACUCUAAUAUUUUGAAGAAGAUCCCCAGUAUAAAAAGUCUCAGAGUUUUCCUUGUUUAUGCGGUCAAUUGAAAUGUUUUGGUGUAUUCCUUUUCCAGCGCGUCAUUGAACUUUAUCGAAGUAACUUAACAAAUCUUAAAGUAAUAGUAAAAUAUUAGCAAAAACAAUACAAAUAUUACCACCAGCAGUUUGCUACCUACUUAAUAUGCAAGUUUAAUAUAAAAAUGUAAUAAGAAAUAGUCUAACAAAUAGUUCAAAACUUUACGAAAUGAGAAAAGUUUUCAUGUAGAAUAAUAAACGAUGCCGGAUAGAUCUAUAGCAAAAAUAUCACACUCCUCCCAGGUCGUUGUGCAAAAUUAUAACUAAUUAUAUUUAAUACAUCAAACCGUUUUUAAAAACCCACCAUUAAAGGAAGCAUAAACGAACAAUGUUAAAAAAUCUACAUCCAAUUCAUUUUUUCGAAUCUUUCUUCCUUAUUUGGACCUCCUUUUAAUAUGGCAUAUGAACAAAACACAAACAAUUAAGCGUAAUGAACAAAAAUAUGUAUAUAUCUCAAUAUCUUAUUGCGGAUCUCCAUACCUUAAACGCAGACGCACGAAGAAGUUAAGCCACGUCGGAGCAAACCCUGAUCCAGCCAACUGACAGGAUCGCAAACAGCGAGGAUUCGUUAGAACGGAUAAUACUCUGAUUUACCACUGCCACAAAGAAGCAAACAAGUAAAUUGUAACGUUAAAAUAGAUAUAAAACACCCGGUACAUUAUAUAGAUACUUUGCUAUUGCGUAAAUGAAAUAAAAAAAGUAUCUUAUUUGACAAAGCCAUGGCGGAAGUUCACUGCAUAACGCAAAGGCGGACUGGCAUGCAGCGUCUGCGCGUAUGUGAUUGCCUAGAAAGCAAGUAAACUUAACAUUAUAAUUUAUUACAAACAAAUAACAAUAAUAAUUAUGCAUAACUACGGAAAGCAAAACGAAAUGCAAACUAAUACAUAAAUCGUUCCCUGCGUACGAAU
rnacentral:misc_RNA from 1 species